ensembl:lncRNA
GAAAGCUUCUAAUCAUUUCUAUUCUCUUUAAUCUGGGGCAUUUGAAACGUAAGUAAGUGACUGGUGCGGCAGCCCUCCCUGUGCAGUUCAAAUGUGUGAGUCACAGCCUUGGAGAGCAGGAAGCCGGCAAGGAAUGUGGUGACGUGGUUUCAGGAUCCAUCUGGCAGAGGUCUGUGAUCAGCCUGUUGGAAAACCCACCUCUGGGCACGGUUGCACGAAUGGAGGUUCUGAGCAGGAGGUGGGCCUGAUCAAAGUUGUUUAAUCUGACUUUUAAGGACGGAAAUACUGGAACUCUGGAACCCUGUUGAGAUGCAAUUGCAGGAAUCUAAAUAAAAGGGAACUAACGAAGAUCCAAAGGGAGGAACUAGUCUUGUUUUUUAAAGCUAUUUAAUCCACAAAGUGAAAUAGAAGAUUGAGGUGGAAGACUGAGCCAAUUGCCCAGGAUCCAAGGCUAAGCGACCAACGGAAAACUUGAAGAACUGCGCUGCAGCCUAAAGUGUGGGUGCGCUAUUGGACAGAGGAGACUUUCAAUGCGGAUAAUGGAAUGUACCAGGCAAAGGAUAAAGAAACAUUGGAACACGGAAUGAUAGAAGAGUAAGCUUCCUGAUGAACUUUAGAUAAUAAUGGCACAGAAAUGAUGCUGUUUUGCUGCUUCUUUCCCCUGAUGUUAGUAACUCCCAAACAGUAAGGAUGAUAAGACACUGAAAUAAAAACAAAAGACACCCUUGGUCUCUACUGCAAUUAGCAGACAUAGAAGACCUCCUUCUGUAAUUCGAGCCACAUUGUGUCUGGAAAGGCUGCUAGCCAGAAGAGUGCCAAGAAGAAAGAAAUUUAAGCACAAGAAAUACUCCCCAUGAAGACAGAGUCACUCAGGGAGAAUAUGAUGUGACAACAGAGGUGGAGAUUAGAGUGUCAAAUCUGCAAACUAAGGAAGACCAAGAAUUGAUUCACAGCACCAGAGGCCAGAGAGAUACAGAGUCACAAUGUGGCACAACCCUCCAAAUCCUUCAGUUCCUGACUUUAGAACAGCGAUGGACUGAAUUUGUCUUCAAUCCAUCUGGUAGAUCAUGGUUAGCCUAAGGAACCAAUGCAGAGAAGUCACCACAAGACUAAAAUCAGUGCUGUUCAAGAGGCUGUCACUGCAGUUGGUUAUAUCCCAAUAUUUAGUAAAUGCCACAAACUACUGUGUAGCAUGAGUGAAAGAAGAAGGUGACGUAGGCACUGACAAAGUUGGUGUUGUCAGGGCAGUUUGCUACUUGGGAGGCCCUCAAGUAUUGGAGUGUGAAUUGCAUUGUGAGCAGGAGGAAAUGAGGGAGCAUGGGACAAGAGAGAAUAUAAAGACAUAUUGUAGGUUGCUUCCCAGGCUCCUAUUACUUGUUGAGUAGAUAUUUGGGAGUUUAAUUGGAAUCUAAAUAAGAUUCUAAAAUCUUUUAAGAGCAACCUCUGAAAAGAAUGGAGGUCUAGAAAAUACUUCUAAGUGCAAAUAAAGGUGUGUUUCAGACAUUAAAGUAAGGAAAAAAAUAUAAGGAAUUCUGGUUAAAACUUAGUGUAUUCCUGGGAGUUUCCCUAGUUCAUUUUUCUUGAUAACCCCAUAAUGGCUCCCUCUAUCAAGAUUUGUCUUUCCUUGAUCUUCC